UUCAAACUCUAGAUUCUAUGUCUACCGCACGAUAAAUACAAUAUGGUAGCGCGACUUAUGAAAAAGGCCUAUCAGCCAUCUUGGAUUUUUUCUGCAGUGUUUGUAAACAAUCUGCAAUAUUUUGCAAUAUUUUUUUUUGCUCUCUUGUUUUGGUUAUUCUGAAUUUCUGCAGGGAGUGAGUGUUGAUGAAUAUGGGCAAAGUUGUGAUGUUAAAAUGAAUGGAAUUGUGACAAUAAGAGCAUUAAAAAGUUGAAAGCUCAAGCGCUGAAACAAGUGGCGCAUUCAAUGAACACAUUCCAGCAAUUGCACACUCUCACUACCGUUAGCUAUUAUGCGAAGCACGCAAAGGAAGGUAUUGCAAAGGCACCUUCCGCUGCUUCAUCGGAAAUAGGAUCGGAACCAGAUAAUGAGGCGAAAACUGAGCAGCCACGGGGGAGCAGUGCCGAUAAGGAAAAUCAGCAUGAACGCGGGAUUUUACUUUCGAAGGAAUAGGAAUCUACUCCGAAUAAAAUGUGGACAAGCACAAGCGCGAUGGGUUGUCGGAAAAUAUCCCUGUUGCACUGUAUCAUGCAGAUAAAAAAGAAUGGAAACGGUUCAAAGAUCGUCUACCAGGAGAAAACAACCAUUCAGAGCUUAGAUGGAAAGUGCGAAACAAACUGUAAAGUAAAUUUGAAUCAAACAAAACUCGAUUUUAUUUCAUGAUGCUAAUGACUUACCGAUCGACAUAGAAUUUCGUCAUAAAUGACUUCGCAUCGUUGCGAUGUAAAUGUUCGCUUAAUUUCGAUUCAAUUUCCUGCGCUGCGCUUCUAGUCAGAACCAGAGUAUUGAGUUUAGGCAUUGAGUAGACAUUCAGUCUAUAAACGUGCAUCAGAUUCAUAUAUUCGAUAUUCGGUGAUAUUCUUCGGCAUAGUAUCGCUGCUAUCGAUGAACAAAACUGACGGUCCCCAUGCUCACUUAUGAGCCAAAUCCUUUAGAUAUUGUGGAUCAUCUGUAGGAAUUUUCAAACUCUCGACAACAUGCAGAUCAUUCUGGGCAAGUUUGAUCGACAGCGACGACAGCAAGAGACGUUUGUUCAAAGCCCCCAAAUAAAAUUCUUCUUAAAGAGCGUUCUGAUCUGUUACACUGCUUGCUGGGGCUAUACACAAUAUCUGCCAGUCUGAUCAUGCCGAGAGGCAGUAUUCCAGCUGCAUUCAGGAUACCUACGAACAAGAUUUAAAAUUGUUCACAAAUCUGAAACUGGCGAUUGGUUAUUUGCGUAUAAAAAUGAAUAUGGGUUGCGACAGGUACAACUUAGAGGCGAAUGAACUCUACGAGUUUAAAGGCUCUAUAAUUCAACAACAUAUUUGUGUAACGAAAUGAAGAAGAAAAACUCACAAGAUAUCUCGACAUUUUCUAUUUCAUCACUGCUACUUCUUGCGCUGUCGGCGGGUUGAUUUUCAACUUCUCCCAAUUGAGUCCAGUGUUCAGGAUUCCCUGGUAAUGCUAGAAGUGAAAACAGUUUAUUACACGGUUUUUAUUCAAUACGAUACACUCACCAUCAGCAUUGAUUCUUCGAUGCCGCUCAACCGAGUAUGAGACAUUUUCGCAUUCUUCAUUCCUGUUAUAGCAAGAGGAAUCGAAAUGUUUCGAACAAAUUCCUUGGUUACCUAGAGGUUUUCACUGUUUUUGUUGUCCACAAUAAGCGAUCCAUUUCAAGAGCACCCAGCAAACAUUAAAUCGCAUAACAAGCGUAUAUAUAACAUCAUAUGCCCUAAAAUUUGGGUGGCAUAUAAUGCGCCUAACUGGCAUAUGCAUGCAAAAGUGGAGGCCAUAUACAUACAUGGCAAAUGCUUACCGAAUUUGUUUGGAUGAAUAUGCAACUUUGACCGGCUAUAAUAGCGAUUAUGUUGGAAUUGAAUUGCGAUCUAAUAUGAAUAUAUUCAUGAAUUGUCAAAGCACCAAAUACGACUUUUGCCAUACUCAUAUACGAUUUAUUACAGACAUGGAAAAAAAAUGGCGCAAAAUAUUUUCGUGAAAUGUUUAUUGUAGCCUCACGAAUCGCCAUUUUUAUAUAUGAGUAUUUAUGUUUGUAGAAAUAAUAAUUGUUUGAUUGACUUGUGUUGGGAGUGGAAUAUGAAUGUUUAAAAUGGCACAGAUUGAUGUUUGGUGAAAACUUCUCCGAUGUGGGUUCGAACUCCGGUCGUCUGGAUUAUCCACCAGCUAUCUCGCGCGGCUAUCUGAAAUUUAAUUUAACAGCGGUUAAAACUUUCGAGUGCAUCAGCAUUUCAUUGACAUUUCAAUAUGAUGUAAUAUGUUCUUUAUAAGGAUAUAAUAUGAUUUACUGUUUCAUGAUUUUCUUCAGCAUGCAACACGAUUUACUACAGUACUGAAUCGAUUUAAAUUAUACGCUUAUACGACACACAAACUGCAUCAGCGUAAUAUACGCAUAUGAUGCGGAUUAAAUAUAUUUUACGACAAUGUACAUCAUAAAAUUGAUGUUUAUUAUAC